AGACUAAAUUGGAGAGAUGGUGAAGGCCUGUGUUGGCAGGAGUUUUGUAAUUGGAAAUUCCCUCUGCCAAUAAAAUCUCAGGUUCAGUCUUUAUCUCUAACAAUUUUAGUUUGCAGUGUCUUGAUAACAGAGAACAAUGCCUUUAAUUCUUUCUAAAUAUAAUUUGAUUAAAGGUGGAUUAUUCCUUGGGAAUGUAAUAUUUAAUGGGAAAGGAAAUGGAGGAUUGGAAAAAUGGGGGAUAAAGGGAGGUUUAUAGUAGGAUAUGGAGGAGUCGAGGGGAGAGCCUUCCCCCACCAACUGUCAGUCUUGUUUCCUUUCCACAGGAAAGAUUGAAGGAAAAAGGAGAAGGACACAACAGGAUAAGAGAUGGGAAAAUUCAUGGAUUGUGCGAGUGAAAGUUGUAGCUGGAAUAUCCCCGGCAAAGAAGGAUCUCUUAGGAGCUAGGUAAGUAUACAGACAUUUUGGUGAUAUUUUUCAAAGAUUUUGUAUUUGUUAAUUUUUUGUAAAUUCCUAUU
rnacentral:lncRNA from 1 species